GAGUUGCGAACGGGUGAGUAACGCGUAGGUAACCUGCCUGGUAGCGGGGGAUAACUAUUGGAAACGAUAGCUAAUACCGCAUAAUAGUAGAUGUUGCAUGACAUUUGCUUAAAAGGUGCAAUUGCAUCACUACCAGAUGGACCUGCGUUGUAUUAGCUAGUUGGUGAGGUAACGGCUCACCAAGGAGACGAUACAUAGCCGACCUGAGAGGGUGACCGGUCACAUUGGGACUGAGAUACGGCCCAGACUCC
rnacentral:rRNA from 1 species